CCGAGAAUGUUUUUGGGUAAACCGAAAACAGACUUUCCACCCUUUGCUUAAAAGUUCAAGUUGCUUCGGCAGGCCUAGAAGUCGGUUCUCUUUUGGAACGGGCUAGUUCCUGCCGAAGGUAUAUACACUUUGUACCAUUUUUUUUACGAUUUAAACAAAUAAAAACAAA
rnacentral:misc_RNA from 1 species